rnacentral:rRNA from 1 species
GACGAGCGCGCGGACGGGUGAGUAAUGUCUGGGAAACUGCCUGAUGGAGGGGGAUAAAUACUGGAAACGGUAGCUAAUACCGCAUAACGUCGCAAGACCAAAGAGGGGGACCUUCGGGCCUCUUGCCAUCAGUUCUGUCCAAAUGGGAUUAGCUAGUAGGUGGGGUAACGGCUCACCUAGGCGACGAUCCCUAGCUGGUCUGAGAGGAUGACCAGCCACACUGGAACUGAGACACGGUCCAGACUCCUACGGGAGGCAGCAGUGGGGAAUAUUGCACAAUGGGCGCAAGCCUGAUGCAGCCAUGCCGCGUGUAUGAAGAAAGCCUUCGGGUUGUAAAGUACUUUCAGCGGGGAGGAAGGCGAUAAGGUUAAUAACCUUGUCGAUUGACGUUACUCGCAUAAUAAGCACCGGCUAACUCCGUGCCAGCAGCCGCGGUAAUACGGAGGGUGCGAUCGUUUAUCGGAAUUACUGGGCGUAAAGCGCACGCAGGCGGUCUGUCAAGUCUGAUGUGAAAUCCCCGGGCUCUACCUGGGAACUGCAUUCGAAACUGGCAGGCUAGAGUCUUGUAGAGGGGGGUAGAAUUCCACGUGUAGCGGUGAAAUGCGUAGAGAUCUGGAGGAAUACCCGCUGGCGAAAGCGGCUCCCCUGGACAAAGACUGACGCUCACGUGCGAAAGUGUUGCGGUAGCAAAACAAUAAUAUAUACACUGGUAGUCUCACGCCGUAAACGAUGUCCACUUGGGAAGUUGUUCCCUUGAGUAGUGGCUUCCAGAGCUAACGCGUUAAGUCACAGCUUGUGGAAAAACGGCCGCAAGUUUAAAACAUCAGAUGAAAUUGAUGGGGG